GACGAACGCUGGCGGCGUGCCUAAUACAUGCAAGUAGAACGCACAGUUUAUACCGUAGCUUGCUACACCAUAGACUGUGAGUUGCGAACGGGUGAGUAACGCGUAGGUAACCUGCCUGGUAGCGGGGGAUAACUAUUGGAAACGAUAGCUAAUACCGCAUAAUAUUAAUUAUUGCAUGAUAAUUAAUUGAAAGGUGCAAUUGCACCACUACCAGAUGGACCUGCGUUGUAUUAGCUAGUAGGUGAGGUAACGGCUCACCUAGGCGACGAUACAUAGCCGACCUGAGAGGGUGAUCGGCCACACUGGGACUGAGACACGGCCCAGACUCCUACGGGAGGCAGCAGUAGGGAAUCUUCGGCAAUGGACGAAAGUCUGACCGAGCAACGCCGCGGGAGUGAAGAAGGUUUUCGGAUCGUAAAGCUCGGUUGUAAGAGAAGAACGGGUGUGAGAGUGGAAAGUUCACACUGUGACGGUAGCUUACCAGAAAGGGACGGCUAACUACGUG
rnacentral:rRNA from 1 species